rnacentral:lncRNA from 1 species
ACAUUCAUAUCAAUACAAUGAGUAGACAUCUUAUCUUCAAUUAUGUGCCAUUUGAUGAUUGGUUGUGCCAUUGAUUGUGUGUGAUUACCUCCUUUUUGGCAUGAUGACAAAAAGGGGGAGAAAUAUAUAUAAAAUAUGUAAAAGGGGAGAAAUAUGGAUAAAAUAUGUAAAAGAAAUCAAUAAAAAGAUAAACUCAGAAAUAUGGAUAAAAUAUGUAAAAGAAAUCAAUAAAAAGAUAAACUCUUAAAAACACACACAAAUUUGUUCUAAGUGGAUUCGGUACCUCGAGGCUCAUUAUCUCUCUUUUGGGGCUCCUAAUGGAGUAAUCUCCAGAAUCUAUUCAAGGGAUAUUUGGAGAUUAGCUGAAUCCUACUCAAGAACAAAUUGACAGGUUUUCCCUCUAAAAACAAAAAAUUCAGUUCAAAAACUUCAAAGCAUUAAAAGGAAAUUCUGAGAAUCAAAACAUAGUUGAAUGCAUAUGUUGAGGGGGAGAAUCUGAAUUUUAAACAAGCUAAAUCAUUAAUGACAUAUAAGCCAAACAAUUGAUUGCAUAAUAUGAAGGCUUAUAUAAUUCCAAAUGAAAGGGGGAGCUUUAACUCCGAAAUUUAUUGUUUCACUCCUUUCAAACUUGGAUAAAUUAAAUUAUCAGACAUUUGAAUUCAUUUAUGGAUUUUAUUUCAUUGU